rnacentral:rRNA from 1 species
UGGGGCAUCUUGGACAAUGGGGGAAACCCUGAUCCAGCGACGCCGCGUGACCGAUGAAGGCCCUCGGGUCGUAAAGGUCUUUCGGAGGGGAUUAUAGUGAAGGUACCCUGAGAAGCACGAGCGGCUAACUACGUGCGAGCAGCCGCGGUAAUACGUAGGCUCCAAGCGUUGUUCGGAAUUACUGGGCGUAAAGCGAGUGUAGGCGGUCCGCCAAGUCAGCUGUGAAAUCUCCCGGCUCAACCGGGAGGGUGCGGCUGAAACUGACUGACUCGAGUCCGGGAGAGGAGAGUGGAAUUCCUGGUGUAGCGGUGAAAUGCGUAGAUAUCAGGAGGAACAUCGGUGGUGAAGACGGCUCUCUGGACCGGUACUGACGCUGAGACUCGAAAGCGUGGGGAGCAAACAGGAUUAGA